AGGAGGAACAACCCCAGUGGCGGGGCCAGCUCUGGAGCCCUGGAGUCAGCCCAGGCAGUAACUCCGGAGCUCUCGGUCUGCAGGGCCUGGAGGCUCCCGGGCGGG
rnacentral:pre_miRNA from 1 species